UUUUCAUUAUUUCCUUAAAUCGAUUAGGGUUUCUACAACUCAAACCCACCGCUAUUUUUCCUUUCUUCGAAAAUCCGUCAAAUAUCAAUCGUAACGAUUCAAGGUUAGAUGUAUCUUUACAACGAUCGAUUCAUCCCCAUCAUCAUGGUUAUGAAAAUCUCACAUCAAUGCACAAUUAUAAAUAAAACCGUAAUUCUCUUUUCAUUGUUGCACCAAGAGCGCCACAUCUGGCACCAUCGGUUUAAUCUUUGCUUCGUUGCCGAUUUUGGGGUUUUCAUCCCCUCGAGUCGUUCUCUGCCUCCCGUCCAUUCUAUACAAAAUUGAUUAUCUUAUUUUUCAAGAUCCUUCUCUUAUCCUUCCAUCUUGCUUUCUCUAAUAGAUCAUAGGAGAACAUAGAUUGCUAUUGUAACGAAAGGGACCGGUUUUUAUUAUUGAGAUAUAAUCGAUGCAGAGAUAGGUUUCGUAUCUUCACAGUUCUUCUUUCCAUUGAAGAUUGUUUUUCUUCAUUCCUCUUUUCAUUUAGUUUUUUAUUUUAACUUGCGUGGUAUUAGGUUUUAGAUGAUGAUACAUUCGUCUGGGAUCUUGUUUAUGGUUACUUGCUUCAUGAUUGGUUUUGAACUUUCAAAAGUUUAAGAUGUUAGUACCUCUAAAGAGAUGAACUAGGGAGUUUGAUUUAAAUUGAUUAUGUGUUCACUUUUUUAGGUUUGAAAUUUGAUGAUAUGCACGAAAGAAAAGCUGAGAUGCCUCGCCAAGCUGACGCCUUUAUCGCUCAUCUGGAACCCAUUUGAUGUACCUUCGAGCCAUGCUUAUUAUGUGGGAACAUGGGACGAACUCAAACCUCGACGUACAAGACUGUUUCAUGUUCAAAAUUCAAAUCGUUAUCACCUCUACUUAGCCCUUGCAAUCGCAUUCCACAAUUGUUCUCUAUCUAGCUAAAGUUUUAUGGCUGCAUCGUAUAAACUACCGCAUCACAAAACACAUCGGUUAUGAACUGCGAUACUGCCACAAACACACUGCAUUUUCGGCAUGUACUAUCAUAUGGUUCCGAAUCCAUGUCAAUUAGGCAUUUGAAGUUUCCGAUUAAGUUCCGGUUGACAACCCAGUAGUUGUGUCAGAAACUCUUCUACAUUCUUCUGGAAAUCUGAUUGAGGAGAGUGGAAGACUUCAUCAAGCAAUGCUAUAUUCCAGGUUUUGUUGUAAUUAAUGUCAUUGAUUAUGCCUUCAUCUGAUCUUUUUUCUUUGAAUAACCACAUCGAGAAUUGUGUUUUAACAUCGCUGGUGUCUGACCAGUGGUAGAAGCAUCUGUUUGCCAUCUAGAUUUUUGUUGGAUUUGCUGAUUUGUAACAUCCCAAAACGCGAAUUUUAAAAUUCGUUAGAAUGAUACCAUGUCUAAUUAAAUAAAUACAAUAACUAAGUUAUUAAACUUGGCUAAAUGUCUAAUAAAACAAUCAAGGGAAAGAAUUUGCUACAAUUGUGUUCAAGUGACAACUAGAGGGGCCAAGGUUGUCAAAAAGGGGAAAGUUUAUGUUUAAUAAAAAAAUUUAAAACCCAAAACACACAUUGAGUGUGUGUGUGGGUGUCGAUGUUUGACCAGGAGAGAAGGGGGUCAAACCCUAGAUCACAAAAUCCAUCAAAUUGAAAAGGAAUUUAAGGGCUAAAAGAAUGCAUGAACCAGGAAUGUCGAUCACUUAAGUGUUUCUAACAUCAAGUAAGUCAAAUUUGGUGUUUUAAUGAUGUUUGAUUAAGUGGGUUUUGUGUAAUCUGUGAUUAUAGUGUAAGAUUUAAGCAUGAAUGUUAGUUAUGAUGAAUGUGUAGAUGCUAAAGUAUGUUUAAUUUUGACUAUGAUGAAGAUUUGGGGAAAACCCAUUUGCUAUGGGUAGGGUGGCGACAUGGGUAUACUACCCAUGUCAAAUUUUAUGCAAAUUUUGAUGUGUUAUGAUUUAUGUGAUUGGUUCUUAUUAGUUAGAUUUAGUAUGGUAUGAAGUAAUGUGAUUUUUAUUUAGUUGUUAAUGACAAGUGAACACAAGAAUUAGGGAGAUGAGCAUGAAAAUACUUGUACAUUAUGUGUCAUACACCCAAAAUACUACAUGCGGGAACCCCGCUAGGCGUGUGACGUACCAGGAUCUAACCUCCAAUCACAUUGAACUAUUAACAAGAUAUUAUGAAUAAAUUCCCAUUUAUUAAGUUAAAACAUUCUCAAACGUAACUCAAAGCUUAACAAGUUCAGCGGAAGCAUAAAGUAAACCAUUGUUCAAUGUUGUAAAACCAAAUGUAUGACAAUCAAUAAACUUGUCUCAUGUAUCCAAACAAAGCUCGACCCAUGACUACUCCAGCAAUCCCAGACAGCAAGUUCCUUGACCAAGGUAUCUAACGACCUGCGAGCACGCAACAAGCGUAUCAGCAAAACGUUGGCGAGUUCCAGUUUAAUAACAAUUCCGAAAAUAAUGUUGAUAAUAACUCGAUACCGUACAAGAUGGCGUCAGAUUAUUUUGCCCGUCCCCAAUUCUCCCUAUCAAAGCAUUGCUCAUGAUUAAGGUCAUUAGUUCACGCCCGUCCUCUCAGGUACGGUGUGAGGUUGCCAAGCCUAAUAGCGCUAUCAACUAAUACCCCGUUACCUCUCAGGUAACUAUUCGGUAGUAGAUGGGACUUAAGGUGAUAGGAAAUGAGUGUAUUAUCCAACAUCCCAGUUUAACCCAAAAGACUUAUUCCCUCAGGAAUACCCGUUUGAUUGUCCCACCCCUGGGACGCAUGCUCAAGAGAAGUGAACUCAACUUGGAUUGCUCGGUAAAUUAAAUUACUUGUUCAUAGUUGAUCAACCACGCCCUAACAUGGUUAUCAAUAUCCAUAAGUUUUUGUUUACUAGUGAACCACAUAUUUAACAGAUAACAUCAUAUAGCAUAUAACAGACAACGCAUAGCAUCACGAAAUUAAUCAUUCAAGUACAUGCAGCCUAGGAUUGCAAGUUCGUAACCCAUAACAAGAAAACAGUCUAAAACGUCAACUGCACAAGUGUGCAGCCAAGGUAUGCUAGGCCCAAAAACUCCUUUACAGCCCAAGUCUUGUGCGAUUGAAGUGAAGGUGUGUGACCAAUCCAUCACUUGUGCGAUCCAACAUGAACAUGACCGACCCAAUUGCACUUGUGCGAUUGGGUCCAGAUUCGUGGGCCAGUGGUACGAUUCACUAACACUCCGGCCCAUGUACCUAGUGUGUGUGUGAUUGGGUUUUGGGUUGUGCGAUCGGCGUGUGCGGCCCAACUAAAAACCCGGCCUAAGUGUAGACCUGCCCAAAGACUUGUGCGACUGACCCUAGGCUGUGCGAUUUAUUCCAAAUGUGCGACUCUGGGUUUGUGCGGCCCAAUAUCAAUGUUAGGCCCAAGGUGUUGUGCGAUCCGGUGUGUUGUGCGAUGCUCACCCGGGUGUGCGAUUCCAUGUGCAAGAUCAGUUAAACAAUCGCAUUAAAUGUAGCCAAUCAGUUACACAAAUAUCAAAAUAACUCUCCAUAAAACCCUACAACCCAAAUCAUCAUCAAUCAUUAACAAAGUUUUAGCAUCAGGAUUAACAUCCAAACCUACUACCCAACUCGAUUAACCCGUUCAUCCAUUCGUCCAAUUCAUUAUAUGCUAUCACAAUUAUAUGAACUUCAAACAUUCAAUAAUCAUCUUAGACAACUAAUUCAUGGCAGUAAUAUUCCAACCCCUCCAAGUGACACUAACAGUUGAUAUUCAAAACUAUUUCGAAAUAACUAACAACCACUUAUCAUACAAUCGACCGAAUUCAACAAAAUUGCUAACCAAAGCCCUAAAUCAUGAUCCUCCUCUAACAAUAUGAAUAUUACAAGAAUUUAUCAUGAACUCUUAUUGCCAUCAAAUAUCAAUCACCAAGAAUAACACAUUCAAUCACACAAUAAAAGACCCAUUCACAAAGAUGAUGACUCACCGCAAGAUGGUGUGUGCGAGGAUGCUAAGAUGAACGAGGAGAAGAGCUUCGAAUGAGGAGUUCUGUCGUCGAUCUCGAGAGAGAGAGGAAGGAGACUACUGAUGUGUGUAAAAUGCAACAUAUAAAACACAUCAAUUA